AUGAGGCCGAGGUUCAGGCAAAAGGAAUGCAUUGUUUUUGGUUUUUCAAUUGCAAAAUGGGUAGGAGAAGCAAUGAAGAAACGAUCUUUGUACCUUUUUUCCCUCUCCCUUACCAAUCCAUUACCAGAAGGUUCGUAUUUUGAACGUUUUAAUUAAAAGUGUCUCCCCAAUUGUCCUUUCAGGCUGUGCCCGCCUGUGCCCUGUUACGGGUGAGAGGGUGAACUAUCAUCACCGGCAUCGUCCUACUGUGUGUGAUUUCGCUUUAGCUUGCGAGACGACUCUGCACGUGCAUUUUAAACGGUGAAAAUACGAGAGCAAGAGACACGCUGCUACGGAAAUGCAGCCAGAACAGCAACAGCAGCACCGUCCGUGGUACACCAAGAAACAGCAGCCAAGGCAGAAGAAGUGCAAAACCGGAACAUCCGGAACAGCUUGUGGCAAGACCAGUCGAUCCCAAGCGAAAUGGUGGUAAUGUAGUUCGAAUAGCAGCAGCACCACCACCACCACCAAUCCCCGCUGGUCGCUGGGUGCGAGUAAUAAUGGUGGAAUAAAAGAAUUUAAUUUUAA